rnacentral:snRNA from 1 species
AUACUUACAUGGACCAGGUCCAUGAACGAUAAAGAAGGCUUAUGGCCUAGAUCAAUGGUUCACAUUGCACGUAGUGAGUGCCUUGAUCUACCAUCUCCUUCGGGACAGUGGACGUUAUAAUGAGGGGGUACGCGUCCGCGUGACCCUUG